CCUGCUAAUGUGCCCCCCCAGCUUCAAAGUAAAGCUAAGUGUGAAGAGUGAACAUAAACUCCGUGUGUGGAGGUGAAAGCAUGACACGUGGUCCAGUGUUUGGGUGGGAGCUCUCUCCUGCCAGCUAGUCUGCGGUGUAGACACUUGUUAGCAUUUAGCUAACGCCACGCUAGCUCGGGAGGGACGUGGGAGCAGCGCGGGGUCACCAGGAGCAUGGCUGCACCUCUGGCUUCAAGGGAGGUCGUCCCCCUUCUCCAUGGCCGGCGGGCCUGCAGCUGCUGUCGGGCACCUGUCUUCAGAGAGAAGAGGAGGAGGAGGAGGAGGAGGAACUUUUGGCGUUGACUGUGUCAUCGCCUCCGGGAGCGAGGAGUCCGUUCAUACUUGAUUCACCGCGACCCUCCUCCUCUCGUCACCUCCAGUCUCCAUAUGCAGUGUCAUGGUCGAGUCCACACAUCUCAUCAAAUCCUCAUCGUUCUCUAUAUCGCAUCAACCGCCACCAGCGUCGAGACUCCGAAGCAGCACAAUCGAGAAAAAAAGAAAUUAAGAACACCUCAAGGCCCGGUGUGCCCCUGAACUCCCCACAGCCUCUGAGUGACACUGCACACGGACAGACACACACCUUCAGCGACCUUUAAUGAAGACCACUUCCCAUAAACCGCAGACAGCUGCACGCCACAAAGGGUCACAUCUGGCUCAAACAUGUCUGCAGGAACAGCAGGAGGGGACUGAAUAAGCAAUGACUACACAGAGAGAAAAGGCUGAAAAAUGACUUUAGAAUAAGAGUGCUGGUGAGUUUUAUAUAGUUGUGAUGUUGUAAGGACUGGCAGUGCCGCAACGGGA